GGGGAUAAUUAUCGAAUUGACAUUUAU
rnacentral:tmRNA from 1 species